UCGAGUCGGCCUGCGCGGAAGAUGUAACGGGGCUAAACUAUGCACCGAAGCUGCGGCAGCGACACUAUGUGUUGUUGGGUAGGGGAGCGUUCUGUAAGCCUGUGAAGGUGUGUCGUGAGGCAUGCUGGAGGUAUCAGAAGUGCGAAUGCUGACAUAAGUAACGAUAAAGCGGGUGAAAAGCCCGCUCGCCGGAAGACCAAGGGUUCCUGUCCAACGUUAAUCGGGGCAGGGUGAGUCGACCCCUAAGGCGAGGCCGAAAGGCGUAGUCGAUGGGAAACGGGUUAAUAUUCCCGUACUUGGUGUUACUGCGAAGGGGGGACGGAGAAGGCUAUGUUGGCCGGGCGACGGUUGUCCCGGUUUAAGCGUGUAGGUGUGUGUUCCAGGUAAAUCCGGUUCACUUUAACACUGAGGCGUGAUGACGAGGCACUACGGUGCUGAAGCAACAAAUGCCCUGCUUCCAGGAAAAGCCUCUAAGCAUCAGGUAACAUCAAAUCGUACCCCAAACCGACACAGGUGGUCAGGUAGAGAAUACCAAGGCGCUUGAGAGAACUCGGGUGAAGGAACUAGGCAAAAUGGUGCCGUAACUUCGGGAGAAGGCACGCUGACACGUAGGUGAAGUGAUUUACUCAUGGAGCUGAAGUCAGUCGAAGAUACCAGCUGGCUGCAACUGUUUAUUAAAAACACAGCACUGUGCAAACACGAAAGUGGACGUAUACGGUGUGACGCCUGCCCGGUGCCGGAAGGUUAAUUGAUGGGGUCAGCGCAAGCGAAGCUCCUGAUCGAAGCCCCGGUAAACGGCGGCCGUAACUAUAACGGUCCUAAGGUAGCGAAAUUCCUUGUCGGGUAAGUUCCGACCUGCACGAAUGGCGUAAUGAUGGCCAGGCUGUCUCCACCCGAGACUCAGUGAAAUUGAACUCGCUGUGAAGAUGCAGUGUACCCGCGGCAAGACGGAAAGACCCCGUGAACCUUUACUAUAGCUUGACACUGAACAUUGAGCCUUGAUGUGUAGGAUAGGUGGGAGGCUUUGAAGUGUGGACGCCAGUCUGCAUGGAGCCGACCUUGAAAUACCACCCUUUAAUGUUUGAUGUUCUAACGUGGACCCGUGAUCCGGGUUGCGGACAGUGUCUGGUGGGUAGUUUGACUGGGGCGGUCUCCUCCUAAAGAGUAACGGAGGAGCACGAAGGUUGGCUAAUCCUGGUCGGACAUCAGGAGGUUAGUGCAAUGGCAUAAGCCAGCUUGACUGCGAGCGUGACGGCGCGAGCAGGUGCGAAAGCAGGUCAUAGUGAUCCGGUGGUUCUGAAUGGAAGGGCCAUCGCUCAACGGAUAAAAGGUACUCCGGGGAUAACAGGCUGAUACCGCCCAAGAGUUCAUAUCGACGGCGGUGUUUGGCACCUCGAUGUCGGCUCAUCACAUCCUGGGGCUGAAGUAGGUCCCAAGGGUAUGGCUGUUCGCCAUUUAAAGUGGUACGCGAGCUGGGUUUAGAACGUCGUGAGACAGUUCGGUCCCUAUCUGCCGUGGGCGCUGGAGAACUGAGGGGGGCUGCUCCUAGUACGAGAGGACCGGAGUGGACGCAUCACUGGUGUUCGGGUUGUCAUGCCAAUGGCACUGCCCGGUAGCUAAAUGCGGAAGAGAUAAGUGCUGAAAGCAUCUAAGCACGAAACUUGCCCCGAG
rnacentral:rRNA from 1 species